GCUAGUGUAGCUUAACUAAAGCAUAACACUGAAGAUGUUAAGAUGAACCCUAAAAAAGUUCCACGUGCA
rnacentral:tRNA from 1 species